rnacentral:lncRNA from 1 species
UGGCUUCAGUGUCCCAGGGACUCUGGGCAGAUGCGUGUGAUUGGGGAGGCUGGGUCAUGUCCCUCCCAGUGCUGCAAGGAAGGCUGAGGAAGCGAGUCCCUGGCAUCUUUAUCUGGUGUGGGAGGGGCCAGCCUCCCACCGAGACACAUGGGGGAGAAAUUCUGCCAAACAUGGGAAGGUGGUGGAGAGGUGGUUCAGAGUGACAAGUGCACGGAGGUAACGCCCACUUCAGAGACAGAAAGAGCCUGGCACGUGGGGGAUGUGCGAGAAAGGCUGGCGCUCGCGGUCUUCCUCCUGUGGGAGCUGAAGGAAGAAGCAAGUCACAAAGGUGUCUCCCCUGGAACAAGACAACAGGAGCAGCGGGUCAGCCAUCUGACGGACACUCAGCCUCGCCUUGGCUUCAGGGUUGCAGUGAACUAUGGAGCAAGCUCAUCUGCCUGAGGCUCACACAACGUCAGGUGUCGUGUCCUGUGACCCCCC